GGGGUUGUGGCUCAGUGGUAGAGCGCUCGCCUAACGUGUGAGGCACUGGGUUCUAUCCUCAGCACCACA
rnacentral:tRNA from 1 species